UUUGCCUAUGGGGGGGCAGCAGUCGGGAAUAUUGCGCAAUGGAGGAAACUCUGACGCAGUGACGCCGCGUAUGGGAAGAAGGUUUUCGGAUUGUAAACCAUUGUCGUUAGGGAAGAAGAAGUGACAGUACCUAAGGAGGAAGCUCCGGCUAACUAUGUGCCAGCAGCCGCGGUAAUACAUAGGGAGCGAGCGUUAUCCGGAUUUAUUGGGUGUAAAGGGUGCGUAGACGGGAAUACAAGUUGGUUGUGAAAGCCCUCGGCUUAACUGAGGAACUGCAACCAAAACUAUAUUUCUUGAGUAUCGGG
rnacentral:rRNA from 1 species